CCUACUGCAGCAGCCAAAACUCGAAAUAAACGAAAAUCAAAAGGUGCCCAGCACUCUUUAAACACUCUACAAUGAAGCCACAACAAUUCUCAACACGUGGGACUUUGAAUCACCCAAAACCGAGCUAAAAUGAGUGAGAUAUGACCAAAACAAAAAUUCCAAAAACAAGGACUCGAAAACAGUACAGCAGUCAGGUUUUAUCGCGAAUUUACCUCAAACAGGA
rnacentral:lncRNA from 1 species